ACCAGACUCCUACGGGAGGCAGCAGUGAGGAAUAUUGGUCAAUGGCCGCAGGGCUGAACCAGCCAAGUCGCGUGAGGGAUGACGGUCCUAUGGAUUGUAAACCUCUUUUGUCAGGGAGCAAAGGGCGCCACGUGUGGCGUUUUGCGAGUACCUGAAGAAAAAGCAUCGGCUAACUCCGUGCCAGCAGCCGCGGUAAUACGGAGGAUGCGAGCGUUAUCCGGAUUUAUUGGGUUUAAAGGGUGCGCAGGCGGAAUGUCAAGUCAGCGGUAAAAUUUCGGGGCUCAACCCCGUCGUGCCGUUGAAACUGACGGUCUUGAGUGGGCGAGAAGUAUGCGGAAUGCGUGGUGUAGCGGUGAAAUGCAUAGAUAUCACGCAGAACUCCGAUUGCGAAGGCAGUAUACCGGCGCCCAACUGACGCUGAAGCACGAAAGCGUGGGUAUCGAACAGGAUUAGAUACCCCAGUA
rnacentral:rRNA from 1 species